AAAACGACUCUCGGCAACGGAUAUCUCGGCUCUCGCAUCGAUGAAGAACGUAGCGAAAUGCGAUACUUGGUGUGAAUUGCAGAAUCCCGUGAACCAUCGAGUUUUUGAACGCAAGUUGCGCCCAAAGCCAUUAGGCUAAGGGCACGUCUGCCUGGGCGUCACGCAUCAAGUCGCCCC
rnacentral:rRNA from 1 species